AGGAUAAACGCUGGCGGCGUGCCUAACACAUGCAAGUCGAACGCUCUUUUGCUCGCAAGAGCCAGAGGGAGUGGCGGACGGGUGAGUAACACAUGGGUGACCUACCCCACAGUGAGGAAUACCGGCGAGAAAUCGCCGACAAGACCGCAUAGGCUCGGUCCGGUGAAGCGGACAGAGCAAAGUCUCGCAAGAGACGCUGAGGGAUGGGCCUGUGGCCGAUUAGCUGGUUGGUAAGGUAAAGGCUUACCAAGGCGACGAUCGGUAGCUGGUCUGAGAGGACGAACAGCCACACUGGGAUUGAGAACGGCCCAGACUCCUACGGGGGGCAGCAGUGAGGAAUUUUCCGCAAUGGACGCAAGUCUGACGGAGCAACGCCGCGUGCAGGAGGACGCUUUUCGGAGUGUAAACUGCUUUUCUGUGGGACGAGCGAGGACGGUACCACAGGAAGAAGCCCCGGCUAACUACGCGCCAGCAGCCGCGGU
rnacentral:rRNA from 1 species